ensembl:lncRNA
CAAAAGAUACAUUGAAGUCCCAGUCCCUUGUUCCUGUGAAUGUGAUUUCAUUCAAUAGAAACAUUUGUUUAAGAUAUAAUUCAGUUAAGAUGAGGUUAUUAUGGUGGGCUCUAGUCUAAAAUGACUGGAAUCCUUACAAGAAGAGCAAAGCAUCAUGUGGAGACAGAUACACAGGGGUGACACCAUGUGACGACACAGGCAGAGACUACAGUGAUGCCGGUACAAGCCAAGGAAUGUGAGGGAUCGUUGGCCACCAUCAGGAAUGAGGAAAAGGUUGAGCAAAGGGAGGAGGAGUUCUGCUGCUGGAGCACAGUCCCAUGAUGAGUGCCACUGUGCCCAGGUCAAGCACAGAAUGCUGAAGACACAGGAGCCACCUCUGCCACUGACCUGCUCAUGAGUGCCAGCCUGCACCAAGUGACACAGCUGGAACUUGCCCCAGGCCCUUUGCAGGACACAUUAUGAAUUCAAAACAAUUUGAC